AGUGAACGCUGGCGGUAGGCCUAACACAUGCAAGUCGAACGGCAGCACAGUAAGAGCUUGCUCUUACGGGUGGCGAGUGGCGGACGGGUGAGGAAUACAUCGGAAUCUACUUUUUCGUGGGGGAUAACGUAGGGAAACUUACGCUAAUACCGCAUACGACCUACGGGUGAAAGCGGGGGAUCUUCGGACCUUGCGCGAUUGAAUGAGCCGAUGUCGGAUUAGCUAGUUGGCGGGGUAAAGGCCCACCAAGGCGACGAUCCGUAGCUGGUCUGAGAGGAUGAUCAGCCACACUGGAACUGAGACACGGUCCAGACUCCUACGGGAGGCAGCAGUGGGGAAUAUUGGACAAUGGGCGCAAGCCUGAUCCAGCCAUACCGCGUGGGUGAAGAAGGCCUUCGGGUUGUAAAGCCCUUUUGUUGGGAAAGAAAAGCAGCAGGUUAAUACCCCGCUGUUCUGACGGUACCCAAAGGAUAAGCACCGGCUAACUUCGUG
rnacentral:rRNA from 1 species